UACGGGGGGGCAAGCGUUGUUCGGAAUUACUGGGCGUAAAGGGCUCGUAGGCGGCCAACUAAGUCAUACGUGAAAUCCCUCGGCUUAACCGGGGAACUGCGUCUGAUACUGGAUGGCUUGAGAUUGGGAGAGGGAUGCGGAAUUCCAGGUGUAGCGGUGAAAUGCGUAGAUAUCUGGAGGAACACCGGUGGCGAAGGCGGCAUCCUGGACCAACACUGACGCUGAGGAGCGAAAGCCAGGGGAGCAAACGGG
rnacentral:rRNA from 1 species